ACGGUUCAUCCCAAUAGUAAUGG
rnacentral:snRNA from 1 species